GCAGUCGCCACGGUAAAACGAAGGGGGCUAGCGUUGCUCGGAAUUACUGGGCGUAAAGGGAGCGUAGGCGGAUCGUUAAGUUGGGGGUGAAAGCCCGGGGCUCAACCUCGGAACUGCCUUCAAUACUGGCGAUCUUGAGUAUGAGAGAGGUGUGUGGAACUCCGAGUGUAGAGGUGAAAUUCGUAGAUAUUCGGAAGAACACCAGUGGCGAAGGCGACACACUGGCUCAUUACUGACGCUGAGGCUCGAAAGCGUGGGGAGCAAACAGGAUUAGAUACCCGUGUAGUCCCUGUCUCUUAUAC
rnacentral:rRNA from 1 species